AACGAACGCUGGCGGCGCGCCUAAUACAUGCAAGUCGAGCGAGAAGACGUAGCAAUACGUUUGUAAAGCGGCGAACGGGUGAGGAAUACAUGGGUAACCUACCCUCGAGUGGGGAAUAACUAGCCGAAAGGUUAGCUAAUACCGCGUACGCUCCUUGGACUUCGGUUCAGGGAGGGAAAGCGAUACCGUGGGUAUCGCGCUCUUGGAUGGGCUCAUGUCCUAUCAGCUUGUUGGUGAGGUAACGGCUCACCAAGGCUUCGACGGGUAGCUGGUCUGAGAGGACGAUCAGCCACACUGGCACUGCGACACGGGCCAGACUCCUACGGGAGGCAGCAGUAAGGAAUAUUGCGCAAUGGGCGAAAGCCUGACGCAGCGACGCCGCGUGGGGGAG
rnacentral:rRNA from 1 species